AGGCUGGUUUAAUGAGUUGUCUAUGAAAGCUACUUCAUCUGCAAGAAAACAGGCAGCUACACCAGUGACUGUGUCAGUAAUCUAAAAUUAGUCUCUCUGGGGAGAGAGAGGAGGGAGGCCCUGCCUCUAAAAUGAGUCUCUCUGGGGAACAUGACACCAAAGCUAAGAGUCCAAUCAAGCAGGAGAGACCAGCCUCCCCUGUUCCCAGCUGUGUGUCCAUGAAGAGUGACUGGUCUAUGGGUCAUCCUAUACUGUUUAGAGAGGGAGACUUUUCUACUGAACAAAGGUAAGAAGAACU